AAAACUUUCAACAACGGAUCUCUUGGCUCUGGCAUCGAUGAAGAACGCAGCGAAACGCGAUAAGUAAUGUGAAUUGCAGAAUCCAGUGAAUCAUCGAAUCUUUGAACGCACAUUGCGCCCGCCAGCAUUCUGGCGGGCAUGCCUGUUCGAGCGUCAUU
rnacentral:rRNA from 1 species